GCGAGGCGAGGUUCGAACUCGCGUCCCCAUGAUCUUAGGCGAACGUCGUAACCACUCGGCUAUCCAGGCACGCUAGCAGAGCAUAGCAUAUCCUUGAAUAGUAUAGUAUAGCAAGGAGGUGGGAAAGGGAAGUGAGGGUGAGGAGGAUGGAAAGGAGGAGGGCAGAACAAGUACAGAGAGAGAAAGAAAGAAAUAUAUAGAAGGAAUAAUAAUUGUUGGGGUUUAACGUCCCAAAGCCACGAUAUGAUUAUGAGGGACGCCGUAGUGGAGGGCUCCGGAAAUUUCGACCACCUGGGGUUCUUUAACGUGCACCUAGAUAUAAUACACGGGCUUCAAACGUUUUCGCCUCCAUCUCAGUUUGCAAAUUUAACGGUGGCACAAUAAUCGGAGCGUCGCAGCUGCACCGCGAAGCAGCAACCCUUUCGUUACGUGUGCCCCAUUGAUAUCAGCCAACCAAUGAGGGGAAAUUGCUGCUUCGACAUUAUAAGCUCAAUUGGCCACUUCGCCGAACUUCCUUGGCGCGCCCAUUCGGUUGCUCUCUGUCUACAAUUAAACUUAAACACGCGUCCUGCUACGGCACUGUGCAACACCGGGCGUGGCGAUGGCAGCUGAUAUGAUGAACGGCAAGCACGUGUAAAAAAAAAAGAAAGAAAAAAGAAAAUCGAGACCGGUGGGUGGGUAGGCGCAGGCACAGUACUGUGUGCCGUCGUUAGUCUCGCCGUAGCGCUACCAUCACCGCCUGGCGUCAAGUGACUGUUUUGGAGUUGUGUUAAGGGCAGCUGUGGAGCGUCUUGUUAUUUUUCACCUUCGAGGCAGUGAACUGUAAGUAGAGUUUGCAAGAGCUGCGUUUAGGGUGUUUCGUCCGAUACGCUAAGUCAUCUCAUGAACCACACCACCUGCGUUACAGUAUUAUGCGAGCGGUUUUUUUUUCUCGUCUUGUUGUGUUUUUUUUACUCGCGCGCGCCAGCCUCGGUCGCGUUCCGUGGGACUUUACUCCCACACGUCUCCCCCAUUUCCAAAGCGGCUACGCCUCUGGCCUGGUGUGUGAUACGUCGUGUGUGAAGACAUGCGGUAUGUGCGGAAUUGCGGGUUGAACGGAUGCUUCAGAGGUUGCUAUUGGAGAGCUUGUCGAUAUUAUUUUUGUUUCGCGACAACUCUUACACAGGGUCAUUGCAGUUGUUACCUCUUCGCGAUACGUGUAGCGCGCUCUCACCGUCGCUCUUGUGUGACCGAUGUCUUUCAAGUUGCGGUUUUAUCGGCUCUAUUCAUUUAUACGUCAGCCCGGCGGCUGACUGGGAAAUUUCGGAAAGAGUCUAGUUUGGGUUUGAUUCGAAGAAACUGGUGUACAUACGUAUAGAUGUAUAUCAAGAGAGCAUCAAUGUUGUUUCGUCCAGUUGCGUUUAUUAAAAGUUUGUAUCUCGUACGUAUGCA